GCGCCCAUAGCUCAGUGGUUAGAGCACAACACUUAUAAUGUUGGGGUCGAUGGUUCAAGUCCAUCUGGGCGCACUA
rnacentral:tRNA from 5 species